CCUACGGGUGGCAGCAGUGGGGAAUAUUGGACAAUGGGCGAAAGCCUGAUCCAGCCAUGCCGCGUGUGUGAAGAAGGCCUUCGGGUUGUAAAGCACUUUCAGUGGGGAAGAAAGCCUUGGGGCUAAUACCCUCGAGGAAGGACAUCACCCACAGAAGAAGCACCGGCUAACUCCGUGCCAGCAGCCGCGGUAAUACGGAGGGUGCGAGCGUUAAUCGGAAUUACUGGGCGUAAAGCGCGCGUAGGCGGUCUGAUAAGCCGGUUGUGAAAGCCCCGGGCUCAACCUGGGAACGGCAUCCGGAACUGUCAGGCUAGAGUGCAGGAGAGGAAGGUAGAAUUCCCGGUGUAGCGGUGAAAUGCGUAGAGAUCGGGAGGAAUACCAGUGGCGAAGGCGGCCUUCUGGACUGACACUGCCGCUGAGGUGCGAAAGCGUGGGUAGCAAACAGGAUUAGAUACCCGUGUAGUC
rnacentral:rRNA from 1 species